rnacentral:rRNA from 1 species
CGAAAGCGAGUCUUAAUAGGGCGCUUUAGUCAGUAGUGGUAGACGCGAAACCGUGUGUGAAGAUGCCGAUUACCCGCAGUGGGACGAAAAGACCCUGUGCACCUUUACUAUAGCUUAGUAUUGUUCUUGGAUAAGUGAUGUGUAGGAUAGGUGGGAGACUGUGAAAUGGCGUCGCUAGGCGUUGUGGAGUCAUUGUUGAAAUACCACCCUUUGCUUAUUUGAGAUCUAACUCCUUGUGUAAGGAGGACAUUGCUUGGUGGGUAGUUUGACUGGGGUGGUCGCCUCCAAAAGAGUAACGGAGGCUUCUAAAGGUUCCCUCAGCACGCUUGGUAACCGUGCGUAGAGUGCAAUGGUAUAAGGGAGUGCCUUCGCAAUUGGUAUUCCAUGUAAUAUCUAAGCAUUUCACCGCUACACUACAUAUUCUAGUUACUUCCAUAUUAUUCAAGCUCUGCAGUAUCAAUGGCCGUGUCCUAGUUAAGCUAGGAAAUUUCACCACUGACUUACAAAGCCGCCUACGAACCCUUUAAACCCAAUAAUUCCGGAUAACGCUCGGAUCCUCCGUAUUACCGCGGCUGCUGGCACGGAGUUAGCCGAUCCUUAUUCUUACAGUACCGUCAAGUCCCUACACGUAGGGAGGUUUCUUCCUGUACAAAAGCAGUUUACAAUCCAUAGGACCGUCAUCCUGCACGCGGCAUGGCUGGUUCAGAGUUGCCUCCAUUGACCAAUAUUCCUCACUGCUGCCUCCCGUAGGAGUCUGGUCCGUGUCUCAGUACCAGUGUGGGGGAUCUCCCUCUCAGGACCCCUAAUCAUCGUCGCCUUGGUAUGCCGUUACCACACCAACUAGCUAAUGAUACGCAUGCCCAUCUUAUACCGAUAAAUCUUUAUUAUCAAUACGAUGCCAUAUCGAUAAACCAUGGAGCAUUAAUCCGAAUUUCUUCGGGCGGCGCUCGAGAGAUUCAUGGCUAAGGAACUAGGCAAAAUAGACCUGUAACUUCGGGAGAAAGGUCGCCAGCGCAAGC